rnacentral:rRNA from 1 species
UUAAUGAAUUGACGGGACCGCACAAGCGGUGGAUGAUGUGGUUUAAUUCGAUGCAACGCGAAAAACCUUACCACCUUUGACAUGUACGGAAUCCUUUAGAGAUAGAGGAGUGCUCGAAAGAGAGCCGUAACACAGGUGCUGCAUGGCUGUCGUCAGCUCGUGUCGUGAGAUGUUGGGUUAAGUCCCGCAACGAGCGCAACCCUUGCCAUUAGUUGCUACGAAAGGGCACUCUAAUGGGACUGCCGGUGACAAACCGGAGGAAGGUGGGGAUGACGUCAAGUCCUCAUGGCCCUUAUAGGUGGGGCUACACACGUCAUACAAUGGCUGGUACAGAGGGUUGCCAACCCGCGAGGGGGAGCCAAUCCCAUAAAGCCAGUCGUAGUCCGGAUCGCAGUCUGCAACUCGACUGCGUGAAGUCGGAAUCGCUAGUAAUCGCGGAUCAGAAUGUCGCGGUGAAUACGUUCCCGGGUCUU